rnacentral:rRNA from 1 species
AGGCUUAACACAUGCAAGUCGAGCGCCCCGCAAGGGGAGCGGCAGACGGGUGAGUAACGCGUGGGAACGUACCCUUUACUACGGAAUAACGCAGGGAAACUUGUGCUAAUACCGUAUGUGCCCUUCGGGGGAAAGAUUUAUCGGUAAAGGAUCGGCCCGCGUUGGAUUAGCUAGUUGGUGGGGUAAAGGCCUACCAAGGCGACGAUCCAUAGCUGGUCUGAGAGGAUGAUCAGCCACAUUGGGACUGAGACACGGCCCAAACUCCUACGGGAGGCAGCAGUGGGGAAUAUUGGACAAUGGGCGCAAGCCUGAUCCAGCCAUGCCGCGUGAGUGAUGAAGGCCCUAGGGUUGUAAAGCUCUUUCACCGGAGAAGAUAAUGACGGUAUCCGGAGAAGAAGCCCCGGCUAACUUCGUGCCAGCAGCCGCGGUAAUACGAAGGGGGCUAGCGUUGUUCGGAAUUACUGGGCGUAAAGCG